GGACUAGCUUUCAUUGGCUACAGCCACCACAUCAAAUAUCAGUAAAACAUGAGAACAAGAACCACAUGAAGGGAGAGAGCACCAACCUCGGGGAGCCUCUUAACACUUAAGAAGCCUCUUGGUAGAACUGAAGCCUCCAGAAUAAAAAACAAGCACCGUUGUUCUCUAUGGUCUAAAUCACUUCAAAAGAGAUUAAGGAGCCCCAAAAAGAUAAAACUCAGCUUAGAUGUGCACCCACCCACUUCCUUGCUAGCAUCUUCCACGGCAUGGCAGGAACCAGGCCCCACUAAGCAGGGGGCAAGGAGAGGCUGGGGCGGAGGGAGCUGAAGCGAGGCAGAGAAGACCCCCGCCGCCCUCCGUGCACCCCUACCAUUUGCAGACUCGGACUCAGAUAGUGAGCCCAGAGGUGGCACCGCGCUCGAUGCUGUGGAGGCCAGACGGCUGGAUCACUCGACUCUGCCACGCUCGGCUCCAGGACCCUGCAGUUUUCUGACUCAGAUCUCAGCGAGCACCACUGACAUCUGUUACCCCUGAAGAGAUGUGAUAUGGGGCCUAAUGGAUUUUCUGUGUGUUCCUUUCUGACCCUGGAGAGACCUCCCAGGAAGACCAAAUAUGUCUAUCAGAGGGGUCAGGCCCCUCGCAGGGAAAAUGCGAUCCAACACCACUGCAGUCUCUGGCUGCAGAGAGUGAAAGGAAAGGACCAGAAGAAACAAAGCAAGCCCAGCCCGGGGAGAGCAGGCCCCCGCGGGCUCCACUGCUGCGCAGGCGCGAAUGGCAGCAAGCCGCGUGCGACCAGCUUGCAUCAAGAGCGCGUUUCAAUCCCUUACACUUGGCAUUCAAGAACAUUUUGGUACUUGUAUUUAAUCGUGGGUGUUUUUGUUAUUUCUGUAAUUCACAACACAUGAGGCCAUUCUGGGAGAACCUGAAUCACUAGGAGGCAAAGAGCCAUCAUCCUAUUUCCCACCCAGCUCUGGCUCCAUCAAUACCCCUUCCUGGGACACCACGCUGGGGGUGGCAGCUCAGAUUCCCUGAUGAUGAGAAGCAGCCCAAACGCCCAAGCUUUGAGGGGAAGAGGUCUCCCUGCUUUCUUUCAAGAGGGGAUAGGGUACCAACAGCUGGGCUCAAAGGCCCUUCUUCGCUGGGAGCUGAGCAAAGGCAGAGGAGACGUUGUGGUGAGACCAGAGUGGGUGGGAAGCCCUAAGAGCUCCAUACUAAGUGGGUCCACUGGAGGGGGAGAGGCUGGGCCAGCCCGCUUUCCAUGUACGCUGUACUCUGCUCAGAGCAGGCGAGGCAACUGGGUGGCCUGGAAAUGCUGUGGAAGCCAGUGAAGGCAGGGUCCCUCUAGACUGCAAUGAGCUCAGAGAGCCACUCAGGGCGUGUCCUUCAAGUGAGCGGGAGGAAGUGUGCAGAUGACAUUGAAAUAUUGAACCCUUUGCAAGCCUUGUGCCCCCUUCUGGAAAUUUCAGGGUGAAUUGGGUGGGCUAAAGCAACAUAAAUGAAAUAUACAUGUUUGUGUACACAAAGGCAAGGAGAUCUGAAUGAAAAAAUACAAAAGGAAAAUAGAGCAGCCCAGACUGCUGCUGCUGCUGCUGCUACUGCUAAGUCGCUUCAAGUCGGACACGACUAAAGCGACGCAGCAGCAGCAGCAAACUCACAUAGCAUCUUGGUAUGGUAGAUGUGAUUUGGUCCAAAUUUUUUUUUCCCAAAAGAGAAACAGAAGCUUUAUAAC
ensembl:lncRNA